rnacentral:rRNA from 1 species
GGGGGGGGGGGGGGGGGGGGGGGGGGGGGGGGGGGGGGGGGGGGGCGGGGGGGGGGGGGGCGGGGGCGGGGGGGGGGGGGCGGGCGGGGGGGGGAUGCACCGGGAGCGACUGGGGCGGGGGGGGUGACGGCGGGGAACCUCCGCUAAGCCCGCAUACGACCUACGGGUGCAAGCCGGGGGUCGUCGGACCUGGCGCGAUGGAAUGAGCCGAUGUCGGCUUCGCUAGUUGGCGGGGUCACGGCCCACCAAGGCGACGCUCCGUAGCUGGUCUGAGAGGAUGAUCCGCCACACUGGAACUGAGACACGGUCCAGACUCCUACGGGAGGCAGCAGUGGGGAAUAUUGGACAAUGGGCGCAAGCCUGAUCCAGCCAUACCGCGUGGGUGAAGAAGGCCUUCGGGUUGUAAAGCCCUUUUGUUGGGAAAGAAAAGCAGCAGGUUAAUACCCCGCUGUUCUGACGGUACCCAAAGAAUAAGCACCGGCUAACUUCGUG